rnacentral:rRNA from 1 species
GAUGAACGCUGGCGGUAUGCUUAACACAUGCAAGUCGAACGGACUCUUCGGAGUUAGUGGCGGACGGGUGAGUAACGCGUGAGAAUCUGGCUUUGGGUUCGGGACAAUCACUGGAAACGGUGGCUAAUACCGGAUGUGCCGAGAGGUAAAAGAGAAAUUGCCUGAAGAUGAGCUCGCGUCUGAUUAGCUAGUUGGUGAGGUAAAGGCUCACCAAGGCAGCGAUCAGUAGCUGGUCUGAGAGGAUGACCAGCCACACUGGGACUGAGACACGGCCCAGACUCCUACGGGAGGCAGCAGUGGGGAAUUUUCCGCAAUGGGCGAAAGCCUGGCGGAGCAAUACCGCGUGAGGGAAGAAGGCUCUUGGGUUGUAAACCUCUUUUCUUAGGGAAGAACAAAAUGACGGUACCUAAGGAAUCAGCAUCGGCUAACUCCGUG